GGAACGUGCAGUGGACUUCGCUGGCCUGGUAGCAGUUGCAGCUCCUGGGGCAAGCCUGACCCCCAGGAACCACCAGGGUCCACAGUGCCACCAGCAAACCCACACUUGGAUAUAUCUUCAUCUUCAAGCUUUUCCUUAUCCUGGUUGAGGAUCACAUCUUUGACAAAUUUCAAUUCGGCUUUCGUCAUGAACACAGCAGUGAGACAGCAUGGAACAAAUGACAUCCUCAGGCAUGCUGACAAAUGGUCACCUCCAGUGCGGAGUCCCUCAGGGUGCCGUCCUUGGGCCAAUACUCUUUUUGUUAAACAUGCUCUCUCUCGCACAGUUGAUCAGCCGCUUUCAGGAAAUAUCAUACCAUUGCUAUGCUGGUGACACCCAGAUCUAUUUCUCUGUCAAACCCAAUAAUGUGAACCAACUCACUGGCCUCCACAAGUAUCUACAGUAGCUGCUUCCAAAGAAUGGAUGACCCACAUUUUUGUCCGUUUGAACCCUGACAAAACUGAAGUUCUAUUAAUUGGUGCUGAAAUCAUUGUCUCUGCUGCUACACAGUUUUUUGGCGCACUGAACCAGGACAUUAAAUCCAUUGCUAAGAAUCUCUGUAUCAUAUUUGACCAGUGCAUGACAUUUAAACAUUACGUCACUAAACCUGUUAAGUUCUGCUUUCUUCAGUUAAGAAAUAUUAUAAGUAUAAAUAUCAUAAGACCUACUUUGCCCCCUUGGGCUCUUGAACAAUUAAUCCACACAUUUAUCUUUUUGCGGUUGGAUUACUGUAACGCCCUCUACAUCUGCCUCAGUCAGUCUUCUCUCAAACACUAACAGUUAAUCCAAAAUACAGCAGCGAGACUUCUAACAAGAACAAGCCAGAGGUCCCACAUUACCAUUGUUCUUGGUUCCCUCCAUUGGCUUCCCAGUUGAAUUCAGAAUCAACGACAAGAACCUCGAGUACUUACCGUAUAAAGCACGACAUGACCUUGCCCUUAUCUACAUCUCCGACCUCCUCCUCAAAUCUUCGCCUUUUAUCCAAACUGCAAAUCAAAAGGUGACCGUCUUCCACAAUCUGUUAGAUCUGCCGAAUCCUUGGACUGUUUCAAACAGCACCUAAAAACUCAUUUAUAUCAUCAAGCCUUUCUAUAGACCUCUCUUUUAUUCCACUGUUCUAUUUUUAUUGUUUUUAUUCUAGUUGAUUUCUCAUGAUGUAAUCCUUGCAUCCUUGUCUACAUUUGUCCAUUCUAAUUUAUCGGUCUCAAUUUUGCAUGUGUAUGUGUUUGUGAAGUGAUUUGUAACUGUGUGUUUUAAAAAGUGCUAUAUAAAGGCACAUUUGUAAUGCACAGACACUACA